rnacentral:misc_RNA from 1 species
GAUGAAGAACGCAGUGAAAUGCGAUAAGUAAUGUGAAUUGCAGAAUUCAGUGAAUCAUCGAAUCUUUGAACGCACAUUGCGCCCCUUGGUAUUCCGGGGGACAUGCCUGUUCGAGCGUCAUUUCAACCCUCAAGCUCAGCUUGGUAUUGAGUCCAUGUCAGUAAUGGCAGGCUCUAAAAUCAGUGGCGGCGCCGCUGGGUCCUGAACGUAGUAAUAUCUCUCGUUACAGGUUCUCGGUGUGCUUCUGCCAAAACCCAAAUUUUCUAUGGUUGACCUCGGAUCAGGUAGGGAUACCCGCUGAACUUAAGCAUAUCAAUAAGCGGAGGA